rnacentral:tRNA from 1 species
ACCUGGGUGGCUCAGUCGGUUGAGCGUCUGACUUCGGCUCAGGUCAUGAUCUCACAGUUUGUGGGUUCCAGCCCCUCGUCAGGCU